GACGUAGGGCGCGAGCGUUGUCCGGAUUUAUUGGGCGUAAAGAGCUCGUAGGCGGCUUGUCGCGUCGACUGUGAAAACCCGCGGCUCAACUGCGGGCCUGCAGUCGAUACGGGCAGGCUAGAGUUCGGUAGGGGAGACUGGAAUUCCUGGUGUAGCGGUGAAAUGCGCAGAUAUCAGGAGGAACACCGAUGGCGAAGGCAGGUCUCUGGGCCACUACUGACGCUGAGAAGCGAAAGCAUGGGGAGCGAACAGG
rnacentral:rRNA from 1 species